UGGUAGAGCGUCGCAUUGGCAAUUAGAAGGGCUAUGGUUCGAUUCUCGAGUCGGAUAAUGACGAAAAUUUAUCCUAAGGAUAAUGUAUAUAACAGUAGCUACAGAACUUUGAUUUCUGAUAAACUUUUUCCUAUUUGCUUUACUUUAAAAAAUUUAUAUGACGAUUAAUGCUGCUAAAAUUGACGUCAAUCUUGACAGUGCAGACGACAGAAAGUUAGAGGCUUUGUUGUUUUGUUCUGUUAUUGAUUUGUAAAGUUCAGCUAUGGCAUUAGUUGAAACAUUUUGGAAAGCUGGGCACAAGAUAACUGGACAUGACCUUGACGGAAGCCUUAGUCUAGGUUAUCGAAGAUUUCAAGCGUUUUUUUGGAACAUCGCCUUUAGUGUGUUUUGUUGCUUGGGACAUUUUGUUUAAUGCUCGUCCUAGAAAUUCAACACCAGAGCAUCUAUUAUGGGCUUUGAUACUGUUAAAACGAUAUAGUAUUGAAACAUUUAAUGCAAACUUAAUCGGAGUUAGUGAAAAAACAUUUCGAAAGUGCUUAACUGGGAUCAACGUUUCCGAAACGCUCCAAGAAACGCAUCUACAUUUAUUUCUCUUGACGGGACUGAUUUUAAAAUCAUGGAACCAUCAGAGUUUGACCCUAAAUGGUGGUCUCACAAAUUCAAUGGUCCCGGCUUGCGAUAUGAGAUUGGAAUUUGUAUCCGCACUGGGGACAUUGUUUGGGCUCACGGAGGUGUUCCGUGCGACGAAUGGCCAGAUCUUCGUCUCGCUUGAAAUGCAAUUGUUGGAGCCCUUCAACCAGGAGAAAAAGUUAUAGAUGAUCGCGGAUACAAUGACCAGCGUUAUUUUGAUCUUCCAAACGGACAUGCAGAUCAGCAAAAAAAACAAA